CCUACGGGAGGCAGCAGUGGGGAAUAUUGCACAAUGGGGGGAACCCUGAUGCAGCGACGCCGCGUGAGUGACGAAGCAUUUCGGUACGUAAAGCUCUAUCAGCAGGGAAGACAAUGACGGUUCCUUACUAAGAAGCCCCGGCUAAAUACGUGCCAGCAGCCGCGGUAAUAACUAGGGGGGAAGCGUUAUCCGGAUUUUCUGGGUGGAAAGGGAGCGUAGACGGAAGCGCCAGGCUGGAGUGAAAGCCCAGGGCGUAACCAUGGGACUGCUUUGGAAACUGUGCAGCUGGAGUGCAGGAGAGGCAAGCGGAAUUCCUGGUGUAGCGGUGAAAUGCGUAGAUAUUAGGAGGAACACCAGUGGCGAAGGCGGCUUGCUGGACUGUAACUGACGUUGAGGCUCGAAAGCGUGGGGAGCAAACAGGAUUAGAUACCCGGGUAGUC
rnacentral:rRNA from 1 species